UACGAGAGGCCCAAACGUUAUUCGGAUUUACUGGGCUUAAAGAGUUCGUAGGCGGCGCAGAAAGUAGGGUGUGAAAGCCCUGGGCUCAACCCAGGAAGUGCACUCGAAACUGUCAGGCUUGAAUAUGGAAGAGGGUCGCGGAAUUCCCGGUGUAGAGGUGAAAUUCGUAGAUAUCGGGAGGAACACCAGUGGCGAAGGCGGCGACCUGGGCCAAUAUUGACGCUGAGGUGCGAAAGCGUGGGGAGCAAACAGG
rnacentral:rRNA from 1 species